rnacentral:rRNA from 1 species
UUUUUAAGUUUGAUGUGAAAGCCCACGGCUCAACCGUGGAGGGUCAUUGGAAACUGGAAAACUUGAGUGCAGAAGAGGAAAGUGGAAUUCCAUGUGUAGCGGUGAAAUGCGCAGAGAUAUGGAGGAACACCAGUGGCGAAGGCGACUUUCUGGUCUGUAACUGACGCUGAUGUGCGAAAGCGUGGGGAUCAAACAGGAUUAGAUACCCUGGUAGUCCACGCCGUAAACGAUGAGUGCUAAGUGUUAGGGGGUUUCCGCCCCUUAGUGCUGCAGCUAACGCAUUAAGCACUCCGCCUGGGGAGUACGACCGCAAGGUUGAAACUCAAAGGAAUUGACGAGGACCCGCACAAGCGGUGGAGCAUGUGGUUUAAUUCGAAGCAACGCGAAGAACCUUACCAAAUCUUGACAUCCUCUGACCCCUCUAGAGAUAGAGGUUUCCCCUUCGGGGGACAGAGUGACAGGUGGUGCAUGGUUGUCGUCAGCUCGUGUCGUGAGAUGUUGGGUUAAGUCCCGCAACGAGCGCAACCCUUAAUCUUAGUUGCCAUCAUUAAGUUGGGCACUCUAAGUUGACUGCCGGUGACAAACCGGAGGAAGGUGGGGAUGACGUCAAAUCAUCAUGCCCCUUAUGAUUUGGGCUACACACGUGCUACAAUGGACAAUACAAAGGGCAGCGAAACCGCGAGGUCAAGCAAAUCCCAUAAAGUUGUUCUCAGUUCGGAUUGUAGUCUGCAACUCGACUAUAUGAAGCUGGAA